UGAGGAAUAUUGGUCAAUGGGCGCAAGCCUGAACCAGCCAUGCCGCGUGCAGGAUGAAGCAUCUAUGGUGUGUAAACUGCUUUUAUACGGGAAGAAACCCUGGAACGUGUUCCAGGUUGACGGUACCGUAAGAAUAAGGACCGGCUAACUCCGUGCCAGCAGCCGCGGUAAUACGGAGGGUCCAAGCGUUAUCCGGAAUCAUUGGGUUUAAAGGGUCCGUAGGCGGGCUUGUAAGUCAGUGGUGAAAUCUCCCGGCUCAACCGGGAAAUGGCCAUUGAUACUGCUAGUCUUGAAUUAUUAGGAAGUAACUAGAAUAUGUAGUGUAGCGGUGAAAUGCUUAGAGAUUACAUGGAAUACCAAUUGCGAAGGCAGGUUACUACUAAUAUAUUGACGCUGAUGGACGAAAGCGUGGGUAGCGAACAGG
rnacentral:rRNA from 1 species